GUGAAAUCAGGUUGAAGGGGAGUACACUUUCCCUUUUAAGCUACACUUUGUUUUUUCUUUUUAGCUACUCUUAAGCCAAGAAGAAUCUUUACCAAUUACCCUCGGGCCCUUAAAUAAGAGCUAUUGACCUGUCAACUGUAUGGAUGGCUCAGGUCUACUUUAUAUAAAACACUCCUUUGUACCCUAUAGUUGUGUGAUUCUCCUAUUCAUGCACAUACUUUCUUGGCUCUAGAGCAGAAACAUAGACACAAAACUCAUUUCUCAGGUAAGUCUAUCUUUUUCUUUUGGUGAGGAAGGUUCUAUCUGCUCAGAUAUUCCUCCCUUUAACUUAGUACAGGUAUCUUUCUUCACUAACUUGGCAGGUACUUUCCUGCUCCUUCUGGAGAUUUCUGCUCCUAGAACAAUUAUACUCUACCUCUUACCCUUCCCAAAUUUCUAGAAGAGGAUUGAGGAAGAAACCGUGUUGUAGGAAAACCCUGAAUUAGAACUGGACCCUACCAGUUAAUAAUUUGAAUUUCAGUGUUCUUGAUUAUAAAAUAUACAGUGAAAUAGUGUGUGUUGGUUGCUCAGUUGUGUUCUGCUCUUUGUGACCUCAUAGACUGUACCCUUCCAGGCUCCUCUGUCCAUGGGACUUCCUAGGCAAGAAUACCGGAGUGAGUUGUCAUUUCCUCCUCCAGGGGAUCUUCCCUACCCAGGUUAUAAAGUCAUUGAAAAUUACCUGCCUUGGCAGAUCAAUCAAAUGUAAAUCAGGGGAUCUCCACUGUGAACCUCCUACAGGUCCUGGUAAACAGAUGUGCAUCUUUCCAUUAUGUCCUCGCGUGCACAUGGUCUUUAGUCUGUGUGUGCAUAUCUUUGCUGUCUCUUUGUGUGUCCUGUUUUCAUUUCCUUUAAGGACAUCAGUCAGCUUUGGAAGAGUAACAGGAAGAAUCUCUUGAUGAAGAAAUUCCCAACUGGGUUCAAGUGAAAAAAAUUUCUUGAAUCUAUUUUGUGAAACAAUUUCAAUUUCUGGGUUUAAUCAUCCUAAAUUAGUCUAUUCAGCAAAGUUUUGGGGCUUCAGAUCACAUAAAUAUGACAAUCUCAUUCCAAAUUUGUGUCUACAUAUUUCAGAGUCAUUUGUAUAAUGAAUCUAUUUGACUUUCCACUUUGAUUAUGAAAUUAACCAGAUAACUCUCAGAUUUCUACCUGCUUAGUAUGAUUGCCAGUCACAAUGAUCUUCUCCUCCUGGCGUUCAUCUGUAAUGUCAUCCUUUCCUACACUAAAUAGUAUUGACCUGUGUAAACAAUAGAAUAUCAUGUAGAAAUGACAUAGAAUACAUUAUAGCUUCUACUUUUUUCUCUUGGAUUAUUCACAGCUUUCAUAUAAUAUUGUUGUUCAGUUGCCAAGUGGUGACCGACUCUUUGUGACCCCAUGGGCUGCAGCACACCGGGCUUCCCUGUCCUUCACCAUUAUAUUUCAUAUAAUGAGGACUCUCAAAUGGCCCUUUAGAGAGACCUAUAUGGUGGGGGUGGGCAAUGACCUCCUGUCAACCUCAGGCAUCAACUGUCAGCAUGUUAGUGAGCCCUCUUGGAGGGGGAUUCUCAGGCCCAGUCAAGUCUUCAAAUGGUAGCAGCCCCAGCUCUCAUCUUGACUGCAAGCUCAUGAGCAAUUUCAAGCCAGAACCACCCAGCUAAGCUAACCCUGAGUCCCUGAGCUACAGAAUUGAAAUAAUAGAUGUUUUUUUGUUUUAAACUUAUAAGUUUGUGGAGUAAUUUAUUAUGCAGCAAUAGAAAAUGAAUAUCACGUAGACAUUUAAAACCCAGUAUUCAGAGAGACAGCGUUUAUAAACUGCUCAGGAUCAGUAAAUGCAAAAAAGUCUCCAUUUUAAUCCCUGUGAUACAGUUUAUUAGGUUUCUGAAACUCCCUGGCCUUUGAAUUGCUCUCCUGUAUUGACUAAUUCUCCACCUUCUGGGUCUUGAUGAGAAACAGAAUUUUCUUUACUCAGAAAAUGCAAGAUACCUACUUUGUCAGUUACUCUGGCAGCUGUUGAACAAGUGUGCUAGACAUGAUUCAUCAGGUGCAGCUGUUCAUCUAGGAUCUUGAAUUAAGGUCUAGUGAUGCAAAAAGGAAGACAGUGAGAGAUAGAGGAAGUGUCCAAUACCCAUAGCAGUAAUGGUGGUAUUGUAAGUUACACCAUCCACUGUGGACCAGCAGCUCUGACAGCAAUGCUCUUCCUCAUUAGACUGGUUUGGUCUAGCCACAGAGAUUCCAUGAACCACCUAAUAAUCCUUAAUAAACUUCUUUUGUGUCUUAAGCAUCAUCUACAGUACGGGUUCUCCUUCAUGGUAGGUAACAAUGGAAAUCAAAAGAGCAUGGGAUACCACAAAAUUGCCAAUAGGAAUUGCCUGAGAAGAAAAGAUGACCUCAUUCUGACCAGUUGACUCUAUCUUCAAAGACACAACUUAAUUGUCAGGGAGAAGCUGAGCCAUGAUAUGGAAAGAAAAAUGUUAAAGGACAUAGUUUAGUUAAAAUAAACCAUUGCAGGUAUGCAUCAGUGAGCCAGGAGUUUGGAAUCCUCGAAUACUAGUGAUUUAUAAAUGAAACAUUCUUUUUGUUCAGUAGUUAUAUAAUUAUAGGGUUUUGUUGUUGAGUUUUAAAAAAUAUUUAUUUACUCCUUUGCCUGUGUGGGGUCUUGGUUGCGACACACGAUCUCUUCAUUGCAUCGUGUGGGAUUUUUUGGUGGCAGCGCAGACCCUCUAGUUGUGGUGUGUGGGCUCUGUAGUUGCAGCACCCUGCAGGCUUAGUUGCUUCACAGUAUGCGGACUCAGUUCUCCAACCAGGUAUCGACCUGUGUCCCCUGCAUAGCAAGAUGGAUUCUUAACCACUGGACCACCUGGGAAG
ensembl:lncRNA